rnacentral:rRNA from 1 species
GGAUCCUUAUCCACAGGGCAAACUCCUGAGAAUUUAUCCAUUCUGGAAGGUUCUUUGCUCGGAGCUCUUAAACUUAUUAUGCUGAUAGGUCUCGUGAUCAUUUCUUUUGGUCCAAGUUAUUCAUACACCCUUCUGAAUCUACUAUAUGGAGGAAGAUAUAGUGAUGGCGAAGCUACAGCUGUCCUCCGUUACUAUUGUGUUUACAUAAUCUUCUUAGCAAUGAAUGGCAUGUCUGAAGCUUUCCUUCAUUCUGUUGCAAAUGAAAAGCAGCUUAAGCAGUCAAAUGAUAUAUUGCUCCUCUUCUCAGCAAUUUAUAUUGUUCUAAAUGUUACUUUUAUUAAAUCUGCCGGAGCUAUUGGGUUGAUUGCUGCAAAUUCUGUCAAUAUGCUACUGCGAAUCUCAUAUUCUGCAAUAUUCAUCGAAGAGUAUUUUAAGGGCUCAUUCUCCUUUCGCCACUGCUUGCCAGCGGGCUGGGGCGUUCUGCUCAUUUCUGGUGCGACCACAGCUUUCUCCGAGAGGGUGUUUCUGAAUAGAAAUAGGUUCAAGCAGACCCUUCCCAUUCACAUGGCGAUAGGCAUCAUGUGCCUGAUCUUCUCAUUGCUUGAGAUAUACCAUGGCGAAAAGCAGUUCUUGAUGAGCAUCAUCAAAUCGUUGAAGGGUCACGACAAACACACAUGA